AUGCGGUACAUUCGAGAGUUGCAGGAUUGUAAACCUAAGCAAAAGCCACGGGUAGGAGGACUUGUUCCUCGAACUGGCUGGACCCCCCCGGAGUCGGGGGUGGCCAAGAUAUGGGUAGAUGGAGCUGUCUCAAGGAAUCAAGGCGAGGGAUCCAUCAGUGCUAUAUGCAGGUCGUCAGAUGGAGUUUUCCUGGGGGCAUCCUGCAUGAAAUAUAGUGGAAUAGCUGAGCCAGCCACUUUGGAGGCCCUCGCAUGCCGUGAGGCUCUGGCAUUGGCAACGGACUUGCACCUGGAGAGGAUUCCCAUUGCAUCUGAUUGUCAAACUGUGGUUCGAGAUAUCCAGAGUCGGACAGGUGGUUCAUAUGCUACGGUCAUCAAGGAAAUCAACGCGAGAGCGGCAAGUUUCCAGCAAUGUUCUUUCAUCUUUGAAAGAAGAGAUUCAAAUGUUGAGGCACAUAGGCUCGUUAAACACGCUUUUGGUCUGGAUCCGGGGCGCCAUGUGUGGCUGUUAGACCCCCAGACUUGA
rnacentral:rRNA from 1 species